rnacentral:rRNA from 1 species
UUGAACGCUGGCGGCAGGCCUAACACAUGCAAGUCGAGCGGAAACGGCAGUAUUGAAGCUUCGGUGGAUUUACUGGACGUCGAGCGGCGGACGGGUGAGUAACGGCUGGGAACCUGCCCUGACGAGGGGGAUAACCGUUGGAAACGACGGCUAAUACCGCAUAAUGUCUUGAUUCGUUAGAGUCAGGACCAAAGGUGGCCUCUACAUGUAAGCUAUCGCGUUGGGAUGGGCCCAGUUAGGAUUAGCUAGUUGGUAAGGUAAUGGCUUACCAAGGCAACGAUCCUUAGCUGGUUUGAGAGGAUGAUCAGCCACACUGGGACUGAGACACGGCCCAGACUCCUACGGGAGGCAGCAGUGGGGAAUAUUGCACAAUGGGGGAGACCCUGAUGCAGCCAUGCCGCGUGUGUGAAGAAGGCCUUCGGGUUGUAAAGCACUUUCAGCAGUGAGGAAGGUCGUGUACUUAAUACGUGCACGGCUUGACGUUAGCUGCAGAAGAAGCACCGGCUAACUCCGUGCCAGCAGCCGCGGUAAUACGGAGGGUGCGAGCGUUAAUCGGAAUUACUGGGCGUAAAGCGCAUGCAGGCGGUUUGUUAAGUCAGAUGUGAAAGCCCGGGGCUCAACCUCGGAACCGCAUUUGAAACUGGCAGGCUAGAGUCUUGUAGAGGGGGGUAGAAUUUCAGGUGUAGCGGUGAAAUGCGUAGAGAUCUGAAGGAAUACCAGUGGCGAAGGCGGCCCCCUGGACAAAGACUGACGCUCAGAUGCGAAAGCGUGGGUAGCAAACAGGAUUAGAUACCCUGGUAGUCCACGCCGUAAACGCUGUCUACUUGGAGGUUGAGGUUUUAGACUUUGGCUUUCGGCGCUAACGCAUUAAGUAGACCGCCUGGGGAGUACGGCCGCAAGGUUAAAACUCAAAUGAAUUGACGGGGGCCCGCACAAGCGGUGGAGCAUGUGGUUUAAUUCGAUGCAACGCGAAGAACCUUACCUACUCUUGACAUCCAGCGAAGCCUUUAGAGAUAGAGGCGUGCCUUCGGGAGCGCUGAGACAGGUGCUGCAUGGCUGUCGUCAGCUCGUGUUGUGAAAUGUUGGGUUAAGUCCCGCAACGAGCGCAACCCUUAUCCUUGUUUGCCAGCACAUAAUGGUGGGAACUCCAGGGAGACUGCCGGUGAUAAACCGGAGGAAGGUGGGGACGACGUCAAGUCAUCAUGGCCCUUACGAGUAGGGCUACACACGUGCUACAAUGGCAGAUACAGAGGGCAGCGAGACAGCGAUGUUUAGCGAAUCCCUUAAAGUUUGUCGUAGUCCGGAUUGGAGUCUGCAAUUCGACUCCAUGAAGUCGGAAUCGCUAGUAAUCGUGGAUCAGAAUGCCACGGUGAAUACGUUCCCGGGCCUUGUACACACCGCCCGUCACACCAUGGGAGUGGGCUGCACCAGAAGUAGAUAGCUUAACCUUCGGGAGGGCGUUUACCACGGUGUGGUUCAUGACUGGGGUGA